AUUGAACGCUGGCGGCAGGCCUAACACAUGCAAGUCGAACGAGUGGCGGACGGGUGAGUAAUGUCUGGGAAACUGCCUGAUGGAGGGGGAUAACUACUGGAAACGGUAGCUAAUACCGCAUACCAUCGGAUGUGCCCAGAUGGGAUUAGUUAGUAGGUGGGGUAACGGCUCACCUAGGCGACGAUCCCUAGCUGGUCUGAGAGGAUGACCGGCCAACCUGGAACUAGGACAGGGUCCAGACUCCUACGGGAGGCAGCAUUGGGGAAUAGUGCACAAUGGGCGCAAGCCUGAUGCAGCCAUGCCGCGUGUAUGAAGAAGUCCUUCGGGUUGUAAAGUACUUUCAUCGGGGAGGCGUUACCCGCAGAAGAAGCACCGGCUAACUCCGUGCCAGCAGCCGCGGUAAUAC
rnacentral:rRNA from 1 species